UGGGGGAUAUUGCACAAUGGGCGAAAGCCUGAUGCAGCGACGCCGCGUGGGGGAUGAAGGCUUUCGGGUUGUAAACCUCUUUCGCUAUCGAACAAGGCCCGCUUAGGGUGGGUUGAGGGUAGGUGGAGAAGAAGCGCCGGCUAACUACGUGCCAGCAGCCGCGGUAAUACGUAGGGCGCGAGCGUUGUCCGGAAUUAUUGGGCGUAAGGGCUUGUAGGCGGCUUGUUGCGCCUGCUGUGAAAACGCGGGGCUUAACUUCGCGCGUGCAGUGGGUACGGGCAGGCUUGAGUGUGGUAGGGGUGACUGGAAUUCCAGGUGUAGCGGUGGAAUGCGCAGAUAUCUGGAGGAACACCGAUGGCGAAGGCAGGUCACUGGGCCAUUACUGACGCUGAGGAGCGAAAGCAUGGGUAGCGAACAGG
rnacentral:rRNA from 1 species